rnacentral:rRNA from 1 species
GACGAACGCUGGCGGCGUGCUUAACACAUGCAAGUCGUACGGUAAGGCCCUUUCGGGGGUACACGAGUGGCGAACGGGUGAGUAACACGUGAGUAACCUGCCCACAACUUUGGGAUAACGCUAGGAAACUGGUGCUAAUACUGGAUAUGUGCUCCUGCUGCAUGGUGGGGGUUGGAAAGCUACGGCGGUUGUGGAUGGACUCGCGGCCUAUCAGCUUGUUGGUGGGGUAGUGGCCUACCAAGGCGGCGACGGGUAGCCGGCCUGAGAGGGUGACCGGCCACAUUGGGACUGAGAUACGGCCCAGACUCCUACGGGAGGCAGCAGUGGGGAAUAUUGCACAAUGGGCGCAAGCCUGAUGCAGCAACGCCGCGUGCGGGAUGACGGCCUUCGGGUUGUAAACCGCUUUCAGCAGGGACGAAGCUUUUUGUGACGGUACCUGCAGAAGAAGCACCGGCUAACUACGUG